CCGCGGCUUCCGCUGAGGCUGCUGUGUCCUGCAGAGCUCCCGAGCACGUGCAGUGCCCAGCUGCCAAUUUCAGGAGAUGCCCUUCCUGGAUGACUUGGAAGUAGGGUGGUCUUCGCCCCCCUGAAGGAAGUAGUAACCCACAACAGUCCAAGUGUAGUUAUCAGAUCCGAAUGGGGAAUCUGCCUCCAUCAGGACUUCAGGUUUCUGACAACACCAUGUUUUGAGUAAUGUAUGUGGUCCCUGUAAUGUUGAGGUCCUUAUUAAAAUACUCAGAUGGGGAGAAAAGUUAGAUUUGCUUUAGAGGAUUAAAGAGCUGUGAUAAAAUUCCAGAAAAUGUUUGCAAAGCCCAGGUAUGGUUUGGGGCAUGGAGCAGUAAUGGAGCUCACACCCAAGGCAACUGAGAUACAUCUUCAGCUGUAAUUUCUUUCUUUUUUUUUUUUUAAAGAUUUAUUUAUUAUCUCUACACAGUAUUCUGCUUGCUUGUAUGUACCUGAACACCAGAAGAGGGCACCAGAUCUCAUUAUAGAUGGUUGUGAGCCACCAUGUGGUUGCUGGGAAUUGAACUCGUGACUUCUGGAAGAACAGCCAGUGCUCUUAACCUCUGAGCUAUCUCUCCAGCCCCCAGCUGUAAUUUCUUAAGGCGCUAGAUGAUGGCUGUGUACUACAUACAGCUGGCUACUUGUUAAUUAGCUAGUGGUUUUGGGGUUCUAUUUGGAUAGUAGUCAUUUUAGGACAGCUCAGAACAUUCCAAAAACUUUGGGACAUUGCUUUUUAAAAGCAAAGGUCUACUAGGUUCCUAAAAUGGCCCAGAUAGUAAAUAUUGUUACUAUUGUCUUUGUUUUGGCAACUGUGUGAAAAGCAGAUGGUGUAUCAGCAAACGAACAUGGCUAUAUUCCAAUAAAACUCACUGAUAAACACUGAGAUUGGAAUUUUAUUGAAACUUUUAGGGUCAACAUUCCCAAACGUUUGAAAGCUUUUUAAAAUUUCCCAGGGGCCACUGACAAAGGUAGAAGAAUAGAAUUAGCAACAUUUCUGACCUUUGAAUGAAGUUCAGGCCUUGGGGAUUGAAUAGCAUUAGUCACAGUAUCAAAAUGUAUCUUCACACUUUAUUUUUAAAAUAUUCUAACCCGGGCUAACCUCAAACCAGGAGAUCUGGAUCAACCUCCUGGGUGCUGGAGUUAGUCAUGAAACACAUGCCAAGCUUUUGUUUGUUUGUAUUCCUUAUCUGAAAAGAAUAAGGUGACUAAAUAAA